UACAGAGGGUGCGAGCGUUAUUCGGAAUUACUGGGCGUAAAGCGCGCGUAGGCGGCUUUUCAAGUCGAUUGUGAAAUCCCCGGGCUUAACCUGGGAACUGCAGUCGAGACUGUCUAGCUAGAGUAUGGGAGAGGGAAGUGGAAUUUCAGGUGUAGCGGUGAAAUGCGCAGAUAUCAGGAGGAACACCAAUGGCGAAGGCAGCUCGCUGGAACGGUACUGACGCUGAGGCGCGAAAGCGUGGGGAGCGAACAGG
rnacentral:rRNA from 1 species